rnacentral:rRNA from 1 species
AGGGUUUGAUCCUGGCUCAGGAUGAACGUUUGCGGCGUGCCUUAUGCAUGCAAGUCGCACGGUUUCACUAAUCGUAAGAAAAGUGGGAUAGUGGCGAACGGCUGAGUAACACGCAAGUGACCUAUCCUUAAGUGGGGAAUAGUCUGUCGAAAGUCAGAGUAAUACCGCAUGUGGUAGCAGGGGUGAUGCUCUGUUACUAAAGCCGCAAGGCGCUUGGGGAGGGGCUUACGUCCGAUUAGCUAGUUGGUGAGGUAACGGCCCACCAAGGCAUUGAUCGGUAGCUGGUCUGAGAGGACGAUCAGCCAGAUGGGGACUGAGACACGGCCCCAACUCCUACGGGAGGCAGCAGCAAGGAAUAUUGCGCAAUGGGCGAAAGCCUGACGCAGCGACGCCGCGUGAGGGAUGAAGGGCUUCGGCUUGUAAACCUCUUUUGUCGGGGAAGAUAAUGACGGUACCCGGCGAAUAAGUCACGGCUAACUACGUGCCAGCAGCCGCGGUAAUACGUAGGUGGCAAACGUUAUCCGGAUUUACUGGGCGUAAAGAGAGCGUAGGUGGUUUUCUAAGUCGGACGUGAAAUAUCCUGACUUAAUCAGGACAAGUCGUUCGAAACUGGGAGACUUGAGGACAUCAGAGGGAGAUGGAAUUCCCGGUGUAGCGGUGAAAUGCGUAGAUAUCGGGAGGAACACCAGUGGCGAAAGCGGUCUCCUGGGGUGCUCCUGACACUGAGGCUCGAAAGCGUGGGGAGCGAAACGAAUUAGAUACUCGUGUAGUCCACGCCCUAAACUGUGGAUACUUGGUAUGGGGGGUAUCGACCCUCUCCGUGCCGAAGCUAUCGCUUUAAGUAUCCCGCCUGGGGACUACGGUCGCAAGACUAAAACUCAAAGGAAUUGACGGGGGCCCGCACAAGCAGCGGAGCGGGUGGUUUAAUUCGAUGCUACACGAAGAACCUUACCAGGGCUUGACAUGACGGAAGUAGGCGCUAGAGAUAGCAACGACCUGUAUCCAGUCAGGAGCCGCCACAGGUGCUGCAUGGUUGUCGUCAGCUCGUGCCGUGAGGUGUUGGGUUAAGUCCCGCAACGAGCGCAACCCUCGUGGCUAGUUAAUUUCUCUAGCCAGACUGCCCGGAAUAACCGGGAGGAAGGUGGGGAUGACGUCAAAUCAGCACGGCCUUUAUGCCCUGGGCGACACACACGCUACAAUGGGUGUCACAGAGGGUUGCGAAAGAGCGAUCUGGAGCCAAUCCCAAAAAAGCACCCUCAGUUCAGAUUGCAGUCUGAAACCGGCUGCAUGAAGUCGGAGUUGCUAGUAACCGCAGGUCAGCAUACUGCGGUGAAUACGUUCUCGGGCCUUGUACACACCGCCCGUCACGUCAUGGGAGCCGGCAACACUUGAAGUCGAUGUGCCAACCGCAAGGAGGCAGUCGCCGAGGGUGGGGCUGGUGACUGGGACGAAGUCGUAACAAGGUA